GACUCUUGUCUGUGGGCAUGCUUCAUACUUUUUCAUUAUUUUCUAGAGAUUUCCUAUUUCACAAAUAUUUCUUGGUACAGAUAUCAUUUUACAUGUAGAAAUAAACCUAUCUAGUCUAAAUGCUUAGCUACCAAUCCGUGGAAAUAUCUCCAAGUGGGUGAGCACUAUGGAGUUUUCUCAAGUUCCUCUAUUUAAAAGACAUUAAAUUUUUCUUUUCCCACUGACCCAUUUUAAUUUUUUUUCUUUGAAGAAUGGGAGUCAUGCUGCAUAUGGUGGCAUUGUGCUGCCUGGUGAUGUCACACAAAAUGAAGCCGGUGGGCUUUAGGCAACAGUAUUAAACUUCACCUGAAUUUUGAACAAAUAAGAAUUCUCUCCUUCUAUAACAACUCAAAAGGUAAGAUUAAUUCUGUAUAUUUCUGAAAGACUUUAUUUCCUAAAUUACAAAAGUGACUAUCUUCAGUAAACUCCUAAAUAGAUAAUAGACACAUUUCCUUCUCAGCAUUGACUUCCCAAUAAAUCUGUUUUGUUAAAACGCAUUUAUUUCAACCUUGGGGCUGAAAUUAAAGAUAUGAGAUAUUGUUCUUUGUUGUAUGAAAAACAACCUUCAAGUCACUUUUAUACAGCAAUAUUUGCAGAGAUGUGAAUAAAUGAACUGGAAAUUUUUGAUCCACAUAGGUAAAAUAAAAUAAUUUAGUAUCGUUAUAAUCAGGCAGACCAAAACAUCAAGGUGUGUUCAAAAUGAGGGAAGAAAGCAAGGAUGGAAGAUUCUCUGAAAACAGGACCAAGUCCUGCACCACACCUUACAGAAGAGUAGUUCCAGUUCUACUUACAAUAAAGCAGCAAAAUUAAUCUUAAAGAGAAGAGAGCUGGUGCAGAUCUUCAGGACACCCAAACAUGCCCACGAUGCCUGCCAACUCCAGGAGAAUAGGGAAGGAGCUGAUCCCUCGGUGAAUACGGAGAGCAGUUAGGAAGCUAAAGCUCCGCCAUAAUUUUACUUCAUUUUUUAAUAAUUCAAUGAAUUGUAUUAUAUUUAUAGUUGUACAACCAUCAUGACAACCUAAUUUUAGAAUAUUUCCAAUAUUCUAAACCCCUAGUCCAUACCUCCCUCCCCUCCCCACCUGUCCUCUUCGGUAAUCAUAAGUUUUUCAAAGUCUUCGAGUCUGUUUCUGUUCUGCAAAUAAGUUCACUUCUAUCUUUUUGAUUUUCUAUUUGAAAAAUGUUGCAUGCCAUAUCUAAUUCACACACACACACACACACCCCUGCUAGGGCUUGUGGAAUUCUUUAAAUAAAUCAAAUAGUAAAUGCCUUCUCCAAUUCUAAUUUAAUUAUGAGCACUGAUAAGUUUUCCUGCACUUUGUUAAAGGAAACUCCUUGAAUAAAUUGUGACACAUCCAUUCUGUUCCAUCCAAUAUUGCCAUGCCAUUCAUAAGGAUGAGGGAAAUCUAGAUGUUUUGGCUUGGAAAGAUGAUCACAGUACAUGAAGAUGUGGGGGGAAAGGCAAGCAGCGAAAGAAGAGGUAUAGCUACCCACGUACGCCAGGGUAGCUUAGCUGGUAAGUAGGUAUAAAACAUUUAAAGAAUGAGAUAAGUUAUCUAAGUGACUGCUUUAUAAAUUGAAUAACCGGUCCUUGUGUGAACAAUUUAAAGUUUCCAUUGCAAAACUUCAUACACAAGCAUAACCUACUCAAUAGUAGAAGAGUCCAUUUCUUUUCAAUCGGCACAAAGAAUAUUUGCCAUUGUUGAGUUAUUCUAUUGAUUACAACAACAACAGUAGAAUAGCUAGGCUGUUUUGUGUUUCUUCUUUCCCCUUCUGGCCCCUCUAUCCUCUAAUUCUUGGGCAACUUUCACAUACAGACUAAUUUUUAAAACUCAUGAGAAGAAUUUAUUCCAGAACAGCACACUCAAGAAAAAAAACCAACAAGAAUUCAGCCUUGCUUCUUUCUAGAAAUUGAAACUGCUCCUGGCUGCUUGGCCCAGAGGAACUCAAAAAUCACAGUUUUAUGUCAUUUCUACUGCAAGCUCUAAAGCAAUCUUGAAGAAAAAAAGAAAAGUAAUCUCUAAUGGGUCACUCUGAGGUGGGAUGAGAAGACAGAAGGACAACCCUUACUUUUCUGGUCAUCAGUCAGAUCUUGUUGCAUGUCUAAUAAGAUAAAUUGUCACAAAAUAGCAAAAGUGUUUCCUUUCAAUAAAGGUGCUGGUUAUGAACAAAUAAAAUAUUUACAGGGUCUUAAAAAUGCACAUUAUUCCUAUUUCUGCCCUCUUAGUAGGCAACAAUUUUGAGACACUUAUUCUUCAUUAUCAGAACAAUAACCACCCAUCUGAACAGUUAACACCUGAUCCUUUGCCAAUAUUUAGUGCCUACAUUAUGCUGGAUCGUUUUACACAAGAAUUAUGCCAACAUCACUGAUCAUUUCUUCUUUAUUUUGCCCUCUCUUUCAUGAAAAUAAAUACAGUUUUACUUAGAAAAACUCUUAGUUCCAAUGCUUACCAAUCUUCCUGAAGUUAUUUUAUUUGAAAACAAACCCUUUCUUAUACCAAACUGAACUCUGCAAGAAUCCAUGGAAUAGCUCAUUUCUAGCCAUUCUAAAUCCAAUUCAUCCUACAUGAACCAGCUAAAAUUAAACCUUACCCCCUAACAGAGCUUCCUCACCCUGAGCACACUUUUAGGGGAGUUCCUCUUUCACUCUUGUCAUCAACUAUAAGCUCUUUUAUCCAUAACAUCAAUGUUUCAAGUAUCCAAGAACUGUUUCUCCACUGGACUCUAGUUCCCAUAGUUCCUGGAAGAAGUAACUAUGACAUACUUUUCUCCUUUCUCUCCUUAGCACAAACCAGGCAUUCAGCCACCACUUCUUGAAUGAAUGAUUGAAUGAAAAAAAACGAUCAUAUUCCAUGCCUUUUGAACAGCUUUGGAAGUAACCACCCACGUGUAAAGGUGAUUCUCCCCCAGAUGUUCUAAACCCCCCCUCCAAAUUAUCCAGCUAAUUAAAAGGAGCAAAGACUAGAACGUUAAAAUAAUAAUAAACACUAAAGGUAGUUUUAGAUUGCAUCUUAAUAGAGUACAUUUGGAAACAUGACUUAAUGAAAUACAAUCCAGUAACACUGUUAUUGUAGGGUAGGCUUUUGGAUUUGGAUUUUUAAGAGUUCCACAGUGGGAGGUAAUAUACUUUAAUGCAAUAUAUAUUUAAUCAUAUAGAAGAGAAAUUAUACCUCCUUAAAGUAUCAUAAGAAGUCCCAAACAAAGACUUCAGGUCCAAACAGACAAGGAGCUGCUUUGAUUUUCCCUGGCUUGAGUAAGACUACCAUAUUUCUGAGCUUCCCAACUGGUGGCCACAUGCUGUUUAAAGGCAUGCUUCCAUACUGAUCUCCUUGUUGGUCCUGGGUUGGGUGGAUGGGGCCUGGGUGGCCAGAGCCCACAGAACAGCUGGAGCCCUUGGACAGUCAUCUUUGGCCACAUAACACCCUUAUUCAUUUACUCUUGUGAGUAUGCCUUAUCCAUAUUGAAUAUGUGUCAUAAUGUGGGAAAGCAUGAGGAGCAUCCAAGGUGACUCUCCU
rnacentral:lncRNA from 1 species